GACGAACGCUGGCGGCGUGCUUAACACAUGCAAGUCGAACGAUGAAAGAGGAGCUUGCUCCUCUGGAUUAGUGGCGAACGGGUGAGUAACACGUGAGCAAUCUGCCCCUGACUCUGGAAUAACUACGGGAAACUGUAGCUAAUACCGGAUAUGCGCCGAACAGGCAUCUGUAUCGGUGGGAAAGAACUUCGGUCAGGGAUGAGCUCGCGGCCUAUCAGCUUGUUGGUGAGGUAACGGCUCACCAAGGCGACGACGGGUAGCCGGCCUGAGAGGGUGACCGGCCGCCUUGGGACUGGUGCACCGCCCCGACUCCCACCGCCGGCAGCAGUGGGGAACCUUCCACAAGGCGCGGGAUCCUGAGGCUGCAGGGCCGCUCGGUGGAUGUCUGCUUUCUGCUUGUAGACCUCUUUCAGCAGGGCAUCUUCGAUAGUGACGGUACCGGGAGAGAAAGCGCCGGCUCACUACGCG
rnacentral:rRNA from 1 species